rnacentral:lncRNA from 1 species
UUUUUUGAUUUAAUUAAUUAAUUUUUUUAACUUUUUUUUUAAAUUUAAAUUUCAAAUUUUGAAUCUCAGAAUUCAACUUUUGAAUUUAAAUUUUUGAAUUUUUGAAUUUUAGAAAUUUUUUCAUUUUUUUAAUUAUUUUUUUUGAAUUUUAAUUUUUUUACUUUUUUUUAAAAAAAACUUUCAAUUUUAAAUUUCAAAUUUCAGAAUUUAAUAACUACGAAAUUAUUAACUAAAGAUAACCAAAAUAAGGAAAAAUAAAAACUUACUACCGGAGUGCGUUCACUCCGGGCAUCCAAAAUCCAAUUUGAUCUUCGUGAUCGUUCUUGCUUCUCGAUUCGCCUCCCCGGCAACGGCGCCAAAAUUCUGUUGUUCGAUUCCUGUUUAUCUAAAAAUAUGCUAAACAGAUCGUUGUUAGAACCGACAAACAAAAUUUAAUUUAAUUUUACUUUUACCUUUUCUACUUGAAGAAUAGUGGUUGUAAGAGGUCAAUCUACAGGGAGGCGAUUGGAGUUGCUUAAAAAUAAAAACAUUCACUCGGAUUCAAAAGCGAUUUUUGAAUAACAAAAGAAAAAUAUUAUGUCGGGGAUGUUGAUAUGAUUUUCUAAUUGAAACUAACUAAAAGAAAGGUACUCAGAUUCGAAAAGCAUUUAUUUAAUUAAUCAAAAAAGAGUUUUGGCAUAAAUUAAAAUGGAUGAAAACAAGAAGAUUGAAGCGAACACAAAUUGCAUGAAGGAAGAUUUAAUUGUAUUGCAUAAAAAGAAAAAUUAAAAAAUUUCAUAAAAAAAUAAAAAUUAACUUGAACCUAGAACAUGGAUUGCAUGAAAGAAAAUUGCUAGAUUUCAUAAAAAGAAAAUUGAUUACAAAUAAAAAUGGAGAUUGGAAGCCUAAU